rnacentral:tRNA from 1 species
GGUAAAAUGGCCGAGCGAAAGAGGUAACGGGCUGUAAACCUGUGCAGGGGGUUUAACUCCCCUUUUACCA